UUCUGCACAGAGGAAGAAAAAAAAAUGUAUAUUGCUGAGGAGUUUUAAUGCAACUUAGAAAGAAAAAAAUGGAGACAACAGCUCCACACAGACUUCACUGAGGGAAAAGUCUAAUCAGCCCAACACAGUGCACCUGUGUGAGUUUUGUGGUGUGAGCUGACAGCUGUUUUAAAUCAGCAUCAAUUAGAACUGAUCCAUUGAAAGUGUAUUUGUUAACCAACACAAAAGUUGGUUCAGUCCGGGGUUAUUUCACUGUCAGCACCUCUGACCCAACAUGUCUCCCAGAUAAACUGGUCUGCACAAGAGCGCAAAUACGUCUAAUUAGCAAAACCCAGUACACCUGUGGUGUGUUUGUACCCACCUGCAUGAGCUGCUCGUGCUGCUGUGGAUCAAAGUCUCCCUCCAGGUCGGCGUGACUGAAGGCUAGCUGCUCAUUACCGGUCAGCUCCUGAAGCUUCUUCAGCUUCUCCAUGAUCUCAGUGCGCUUCAGGUUCUUCAGCUGCUUCAGCUGCUCCUGCUUCUGCUCUUUCUCCUCGCACAGACGUGGCGAUGUUGCGGGGGUACGUUUUGAUCUCCUGGGCGUCAGGCUCCUCAAAGCGGAAGUUGUAGCGUCUCUCAAAGUCGUCCUGCCGCUCCAAGAAAGUCUCCCCUUCCUCCUCCGAGUCCUCCACGUCAUCCUGGACCACCUCGUCGUAGGUAGCCCUUGUUGAGGAAAUAGUCUCUCAGGAAACGCUCCUUCUCAUCCAGCUGUGGGUCAUUCCAGUAGUCUCGCAGUCAGCAGCUGGGAUUCUCCACUUCCUUCGCCGCCCUUGUCGCCGUCGUCGUCGUCAUCAUCGCUGUCCUGGAUGAACUUACGGAAGCUGAGGAGAGAGUUUCCAUAAAUAGUCUGCGAGUUAUGCUGCCAGAUAUCUUCAGAUUGUUUGAUUCUUACCUUUCCUUCAGCGCCCUCUGCUCCUGAAUGUAGCUCGGAGAGGCAGCUCUCUUUGGAAGAAAACAAUAAUGAUCAAUAAAGAGAUCUGUUAUUGGA